rnacentral:rRNA from 1 species
GACGAACGCUGGCGGCGUGCCUAAUACAUGCAAGUCGAACGCAGUGGGGACGGGUGAGUAACACGUGGGUAACCUCCCAUCAGAGGGGAUAACACUUGGAAACAGGUGCUAAACCGAUACUGAUGGAUGGACCCGCGGGGCAGUAGCUAGUUGGUGGGGUAACGGCUCACCAAGGCCACGAUGCAGAGCCGACCGGAGAGGGGGAUCGGCCACACUGGGACUGAGACACGGCCAAGACUCCUACGGGAGGCAGCAGUAGGGAAUCUUCGGCAAUGGACGAAAGUCUGACCGAGCAACGCCGCGUGAGUGAAGAAGGUUUUCGGGUCGUAAAACUCUGUUGUUAGGGAAGCGGUACCUAAACAGAAAGCAACGGCUAACUACGUGCCAGCAGCCGCGGUAAUUC